rnacentral:rRNA from 1 species
UACGUAGGGUGCAAGCGUUAAUCGGAAUUACUGGGCGUAAAGCGUGCGCAGGCGGUUUUGUAAGUCUGUCGUGAAAUCCCCGGGCUUAACCUGGGAAUGGCGAUGGAGACUGCAAGGCUAGAGUUUGGCAGAGGGGGGUAGAAUUCCACGUGUAGCAGUGAAAUGCGUAGAGAUGUGGAGGAACACCGAUGGCGAAGGCAAUCCCCUGGGCCUGUACUGACGCUCAUGCACGAAAGCGUGGGGAGCAAACAGG